UACGUAGGGUGCGAGCGUUGUCCGGAAUUAUUGGGCGUAAAGGGCUCGUAGGCGGUUUGUCGCGUCGGGAGUGAAAACCUCGGGCUUAACUCGGGGCUUGCUUUCGAUACGGGCAGACUUGAGUACUGCAGGGGAGACUGGAAUUCCUGGUGUAGCGGUGGAAUGCGCAGAUAUCAGGAGGAACACCGGUGGCGAAGGCGGGUCUCUGGGCCGAUACUGACGCUGAGACGCGAAAGCGUGGGGAGCAAACAGG
rnacentral:rRNA from 1 species